AUUAUUAUUACAGCAACAAUCGCCAUCGUGCCAAAAUUCCGGAGUCCCACCCUCAAGAAAAGAGUCCUGCCUCAUAGGAGCUGCUGGAGGCUGCUGUGCAAACAGACACCCCACCGGAUGAUGCAACAUCUGCCCGAACAGGGCGUUUGCUGUCAAGCGGGGCGAGAUUCAUAGUUCUGGCCGCAAUAGCCUGUCCCACUGACAGGACCCCGAGGCCGUUCCAGCGGGAGGAGAGCCAAGGAGGCUGCGCUCGUGGACUUGACGUGUCUCGCAGGCCUGCUCCUAGAAUUUCAUCCCUUGCCGUCCCCGCUUCUCUCCCCCUCCAGCCCAGCGUGAACUUCACUUGGGCCAAAAAAUCAGCUGCAUGAGAACAGGAUGGAGCAGGCAGCUGGAGACACGAGUCAAUAAAGCCCGCGAAGGAAACCUCAGGAUUUUCCUAACUGUGAACUUAGCGAGAAGCAACAGCAGGAGCUCCAGAAACUUCCUUAGGUGACAUGGAAUGAGAAACAGCUGGGAAGAGUGAAAAAAAA